CCAUCUGGGAAAAAAAAGUGGAAAACCACAGUAAGUGGCAGUAUCCCUUUAACAGUUGCCCCUGAUUAUAUUUUUAUAGUGCUUCCAAGUUUUACACGGAGCUUUAUACUUUAAAUAUACAUUGGGAGAGAAAAAGAAACUAUUUUCUAAAACACUUAAAGCACCCAUUUAUUGACAAAUAGCAAAUUCUUGGUACAUGAGUAUGCCACAAAGAUCCAUUUUUUUUUUUUUAAUAUUUAUUUUUGAGAGAGAGAGAGAGACCAUGAGUGGGGAAGGGCAGAGAGAGGGAGACACAGAAGCGAAAGCAGGCUCCAGGCUCUGAGCUGUCAGCACAGAGCCCGACACAGGGCUGGAACUCACGAACUGUGAUAUCAUGACCUGAGCCCAAGUCAGAUGCUUGACCUACUGAGCCAUCCAGGAUCCUAUCUUGAAGAGAAAUAGGACAAAUCACAAGCUCUGGCCAGGCUUGGCCUUUCCCUGGAGGUCUGGGUGUUCAUGCACUCCAAAGCUAAGGAGAGGACAGGCAGGAAGUUUUCUACUACAUGGAAAGGAAUAAUUGUUAAAAGGAGAGAAAAAAACCAGUGUGGAAGCUGCAUGUUCAAGCCAUCAGUCAUUUUAAAGAGGACAAGGGCACAGAAGUCCAUUCAUUUUCAGAAAAUAAAAAGCAGAUUAUGCUUGUUUUUCAAA